GCAUAUCAAUAAGCGGAGGAAAAGAAACUAACAAGGAUUCCCCUAGUAACUGCGAGUGAAGCGGGAUGAGCUCAAAUUUAAAAUCUGGCGUCUUCGGCGUCCGAGUUGUAAUUUAGAGAAGCGUUUUCCGCGCUGGACCGUGUACAAGUCUCCUGGAACGGAGCGUCAUAGAGGGUGAGAAUCCCGUCUUUGACACGGACCCCCAGUGCUCUGUGAUACGCUCUCGAAGAGUCGAGUUGUUUGGGAAUGCAGCUCAAAAUGGGUGGUGAACUCCAUCUAAAGCUAAAUAUCGGGGAGAGACCGAUAGCGAACAAGUACCGUGAGGGAAAGAUGAAAAGCACUUUGGAAAGAGAGUUAAAAGUACGUGAAAUUGUCGAAAGGGAAGCACUUGAAGUCAGCCAUGCUGCUUGAGACUCAGCCUGGCUUUUGCUUGGUGUAUUUCUCGGUAGCAAGCCAGCAUUGGUUUGUGUCGUCGGAGAAGCGUAUGGGGAAUGUGGCAUCCUCGGAUGUGUUAUAGCCCUGUGCAGGAUACGACGACGUAGACCAAGGAACGCAGUGUGCCCUCUGGGCGGGUCUUCGGACACCUUCACACUUAGGAUGCUGGCGUAAUGGCUUUAAGUGGCCCGUCUUGAAACACGGACC
rnacentral:rRNA from 1 species